GAGUUUGAUCAUGGCUCAGAAUGAACGCUGGCGGCGUGCUGUACACAUGCAAGUCGAGCGAGGCGUCCCGCAAGGGAUAGCCCUAGCGGCGAACGGGUGAGUAACGCGUGGAUGACCUGCCCAACAGUGGGGAAUAACCCGGGGAAACUCGGGCUAAUACCGCAUACGACCGAGAGGUGAAAGGGGGCUUGCAAGAGCUCUCGCUGGAGGAGGGGUCCGCGUUCGAUUAGCUAGUUGGUGAGGUAACGGCUCACCAAGGCUUCGAUCGGUAACCGGCCUGAGAGGGCGAUCGGUCACACCGGAACUGAGACACGGUCCGGACUCCUACGGGAGGCAGCAGUGGGGAAUAUUGCGCAAUGGGCGAAAGCCUGACGCAGCAACGCCGCGUGCGGGAUGAAGGUCUUCGGAUUGUAAAGCUCUUUUGCCAGGGACGAUAAUGACGGUACCUGGAGAAUAAGCCCCGGCUAACUUCGUGCCAGCAGCCGCGGUAAUACGAAGGGGGCUAGCGUUGUUCGGAAUUACUGGGCGUAAAGCGCACGUAGGCGGAUCUAUAAGUCAGGGGUGAAAUCCCGGGGCUCAACCUCGGAACUGCCUUUGAUACUGUAGAUCUCGAGUCCGAUAGAGGUGAGUGGAAUUCCUAGUGUAGAGGUGAAAUACGUAGAUAUCUGGAAGAACACCAGUUGCGAAGGCGG
rnacentral:rRNA from 1 species